rnacentral:rRNA from 1 species
GACGAACGCUGGCGGCGUGCCUAAUACAUGCAAGUCGAGCGAAUGGAUUAAGAGCUUGCUCUUAUGAAGUUAGCGGCGGACGGGUGAGUAACACGUGGGUAACCUGCCCAUAAGACUGGGAUAACUCCGGGAAACCGGGGCUAAUACCGGAUAACAUUUUGAACCGCAUGGUUCGAAAUUGAAAGGCGGCUUCGGCUGUCACUUAUGGAUGGACCCGCGUCGCAUUAGCUAGUUGGUGAGGUAACGGCUCACCAAGGCAACGAUGCGUAGCCCACUCGAGAGGGUGAUCGGCUACACUGGGACUGAGACACGGCCCAGACUCCUACGGUAGGAAGCAGUAGGGAAUCUUCCGCAAUGGACGAAAGUCUGACGGAGCAACGCCGCGUGAGUGAUGCAGGCUUUCGGGUCGUAAAACUCUGUUGUUAGGGAAGAACAAGUGCUAGUUGAAUAAGCUGGCACCUUGACGGUACCUAACCAGAAAGCCACGGCUAACUACGUGCCAGCCGCCGCAGUAA